rnacentral:rRNA from 1 species
GAUGAACGCUGGCGGCGUGCCUAAUACAUGCAAGUCGAGCGAACAGACGAGGAGCUUGCUCCUCUGACGUUAGCGGCGGACGGGUGAGUAACACGUGGAUAACCUACCUAUAAGACUGGGAUAACUUCGGGAAACCGGAGCUAAUACCGGAUAAUAUAUUGAACCGCAUGGUUCAAUAGUGAAAGACGGUUUUGCUGUCACUUAUAGAUGGAUCCGCUCCGCAUUAGCUAGUUGGUAAGGUAACGGCUUACCAAGGCAACGAUGCGUAGCCGACCUGAGAGGGUGACCGGCCACACUGGAACUGAGAGUCGGUCCAGACUCCUACGGGAGGCAGCAGUAGGGAAUCUUCCGCAAUGGGCGAAAGCCUGACGGAGCAACGCCGCGUGAGUGAUGAAGGUCUUCGGAUCGUAAAACUCUGUUAUUAGGGAAGAACAAAUGUGUAAGUAACUAUGCACGUCUUGACGGUACCUAAUCAGAAAGCCACGGCUAACUACGUG